CUUUAGAAAUGUGCCACCAUCUCGCAUCAUAUGUGAUACUGUGGCAAGGCAUUUAUGAAGUAUAUUAUGAAUUUGACUUUAAUAUUAUAAUAAUUCCACAGAACAAUAAGACUUCUAAAAGAAAUCUGUGUCUGUGUUAACACCCAACUCCGAUUUGUCACUAAUAAGGAUUUUAAUAGUAUAAUAAUAACAAUAAUUUAGAUUAGAAGUGGUUAAAUUGUCAUUGUUCAAUCAUUUGCUUCUUUCUAGGAGCUCAGGCUUUCCGAACGCAACAC